rnacentral:rRNA from 1 species
AGUGAUCAGAAGUGAGAAUGUUGACAUGAGUAGCAACAAACAGGGUGAGAGACCCUGUCGCCGAAAGUCCAAGGGUUCCUGCUUAAAGCUAAUCUGAGCAGGGUAAGCCGGCCCCUAAGGCGAGGCCGAAAGGCGUAGUCGAUGGGAACCAGGUUAAUAUUCCUGGGCCAGGAGAUGGUGACGGAUCACAGAGCUAGUGAGGUCUUAUCGGAUUGAUCUUGCUGGUGAGUGGUUCCUGGAAAUAGCCCUCCAUGAGACCGUACCCUAAACCGACACAGGUGGACUGGUAGAGAAUACCAAGGCGCUUGAGAGAACCACAUUUAAGGAGCUCGGCAAAAUACCUCCGUAAGUUCGCGAGAAGGAGGCCCCGUUUGUACGCAAGUAUGGGCGGGGGGCACAAACCAGGGGGUGGCGACUGUUUACUAAAAACACAGGGCUCUGCGAAGUCGCAAGACGACGUAUAGGGUCUGACGCCUGCCCGGUGCCGGAAGGUUAAAAGGAGAUGUGCAAGCAUUGAAUUGAAGCCCCGGUAAACGGCGGCCGUAACCAUAACGGUCCUAAGGUAGCGAAAUUCCUUGUCGGGUAAGUUCCGACCUGCACGAAUGGCGUAACGACUUCCCCGCUGUCUCAAAUGUGGACUCAGCGAAAUUGAAUUGUCUGUGAAGAUGCAGACUUCCCGCGGUUAGACGGAAAGACCCCAUGCACCUUUACUAUAGCUUCGCACUGGCAUCAGGAUUGUGAUGUGCAGGAUAGGUGGUAGGCAUUGAAACCGGGACGCCAGUUCCGGUGGAGCCAUCCUUGAGAUACCACCCUUCGCACUCUUGAUGUAUAACCGCGGCCCGUUAUCCGGGUCCGGGACCCUGCGUGGUGGGUAGUUUGACUGGGGCGGUCGCCUCCCAAAAAGUAACGGAGGCGCGCGAAGGUUGGCUCAGAGCGGUCGGAAAUCGCUCGUUGAGUGCAAUGGCAGAAGCCAGCCUGACUGCAAGACUGACAAGUCGAGCAGAGACGAAAGUCGGCCAUAGUGAUCCGGUGGUCCCGAGUGGAAGGGCCAUCGCUCAACGGAUAAAAGGUACGCUGGGGAUAACAGGCUGAUGAUGCCCAAGAGUCCAUAUCGACGGCAUCGUUUGGCACCUCGAUGUCGGCUCAUCUCAUCCUGGGGCUGGAGCAGGUCCCAAGGGUAUGGCUGUUCGCCAUUUAAAGAGGUACGUGAGCUGGGUUUAGAACGUCGUGAGACAGUUCGGUCCCUAUCUGCCGUGGGUGUAGGAUACUUGAGAGGAGUUGCCCCUAGUACGAGAGGACCGGGGUGAACGUUCCACUGGUGGACCAGUUGUCGUGCCAACGGCAGUGCUGGGUAGCUAUGAACGGACAGGAUAAACGCUGAAGGCAUCUAAGCGUGAAGCCCCCCUCAAAACAAGGUAUCCCUUGAGAGCCGUGGAAGACCACCACGUCGAUAGGCCGGAAUGUAAGCGCAGCAAUGUGUUCAGUUGACCGGUACUAAUGGCUC